UGUGCUAUGAUCCUAUUAUCACAUAUUCUUUUUUAUUAUUUAAUUAAUUAUUUUUUGGGCAUCUAAGUAAACAUCGUCAGGCCAUAUUCGGAGCCUACAAACAUUUAUAAAUUUGUAUAUUGUUGUUCACAGAGCUGCACACGCCAGAUAUUCUCUUUCUUUGCUCAUCAAAGUAAAAAUAAAAAAAAAAAUUGCAUUGUGCAAUUGAAAUCAUGUUACAAUGUGCCACGAGAUGAAAGAGAGGUGGGGUAGGCAUGGUAACAUUCCGUUAUGUCACAUUUCUAGCCCACAAAUAAAAAAUAGCGAAUCCAACUUUUGACGUGUGACAGCAGUUGGCGUUGCAUUUUGGCCGCAAUUGUCAGGUGCCGCGAUAUUCGAGGACCUGUCAAUCCGAUUUCAGAUAUUUGAACAUAUAAUGGUAGAGUCAAGGGGAGCACUCAGCCCACAGCUCUUCUCUAUGAAUGGAGGAGCUUUAAUAUAGCUUAAAACAGACAGGAAAUGCAACGAUGCGUAUGCUUGAUAUACAGGAAAACCAAGCUGAAAUCCGAGCUGAAACUGGAAAUAUGAGUAAAACGCCGAACAAGAAACAGAACGUAAUAAAGAUGCGUAAUGGUUGCCUGCGCACAAGUAUCGGAAAAUAAUUACGGAAAAGCAAAAAGGAUGAAAAGUUGACGGAACAUAACCUGAAAUAUUCGGAAUAGAAACAAUUGAAUUAACCUCAACAUUUAAUAAAACUUGUUUUGUGCAUUAGGCAAAUGUUGCAAA